UACGUAGGGUGCAAGCGUUAAUCGGAAUUAUUGGGCGUAAAGGGUAGGUAGGUGGUCUCAUUUGUCUGGGGUGAAAGCCUUGAGCUUAACUCAAGAAGUGCCCUAGAAACGGUGAGACUGGAGUCCUGGAGAGGGUCGUGGAAUUCCCGGUGUAGCGGUGAAAUGCGUAGAGAUCGGGAGGAACACCAGAGGCGAAGGCGGCGACCUGGACAGGUACUGACACUCAACUACGAAAGCGUGGGGAGCAAACAGG
rnacentral:rRNA from 1 species